CACAAUAUUUAGUUUUUCAUAGAUAAAAUCUUUAUGAAAUGCUCAUAAAUACGGAGUUGGAAUUUAUCUGAAAUUCCUGCACAGCCAAACUUUGUCUUAUGGUAAAUUUUCAAGUUUACAAAACUUGACAAAUGACGGAGCUAGCGCCAUCAUCAGUGAAGGUUGUGGGAAUAAAGUAUUACUUUGCUCAUCACAAACAAAAAUCUAUGCAGGCUCCUUUGGUCUAACAGGAU